rnacentral:misc_RNA from 1 species
UUUCCGUAGGUGAACCUGCGGAAGGAUCAUUAGUGAAUUGAAUUCGUUAGCGGCCCACUUCGGAGUCCCUAGCAUCAAAUCAUAUCCAUAACACCCGUGAACUGGAAGGCUGUCGCGAACACGAAAGUGAUUAGAGCGCCUGCCCAUUUUAUACAAGCAUUGAAGGAACAAACGUAGGCUUAUUAUAAUCUAAUAAAACUUUCAACAACGGAUCUCUUGGCUCUG